rnacentral:tRNA from 1 species
GAGGCUGAUUGAGAGGCGCUCGCCUUGCACGCGGGAGACCCGGGUUCGAUUCCCGGC